GAGUUUGAUCAUGGCUCAGAUUGAACGCUGGCGGCAUGCCUUACACAUACAAGUCGAACGGCAGCAUGAUCUAGCUUGCUAGAUUGAUGGCGAGUGGCGAACGGGUGAGUAAUACAUCGGAACGUGCCCUGUAGUGGGGGAUAACUAGUCGAAAGAUUAGCUAAUACCGCAUACGACCUGAGGGUGAAAGUGGGGGACCGCAAGGCCUCAUGCUAUAGGAGCGGCCGAUGUCUGAUUAGCUAGUUGGUGGGGUAAAGGCCCACCAAGGCGACGAUCAGUAGCUGGUCUGAGAGGACGAUCAGCCACACUGGGACUGAGACACAGCCCAGACUCCUACGGGAGGCAGCAGUGGGGAAUUUUGGACAAUGGGCGAAAGCCUGAUCCAGCAAUGCCGCGUGUGUGAAGAAGGCCUCGGUUGGUAAGU
rnacentral:rRNA from 1 species